rnacentral:rRNA from 1 species
AUUGAACGCUGGCGGCAGGCCUAACACAUGCAAGUCGAACGAUUUGCGGACGGGUGAGUAAUGUGUGGGAAACUGCUUGAUGGAGGGGGAUCACUCCCGGAAACGGUAGCUAAUACCGAAUACCAUCAGAUGUGUCCAGAAGGGAUUAGCUUGUUGGUGGGGUAACGGCUCACCAAGGCGACGAUCCCUAGCUGGUCUGCGAGGAUUACAAGCCACACGGGACCUGAGACACGGUCCAGCCGCCUACGGGAGGCAGUGAUGGGGAGUAUUGCACAAGUGGGGAAGACCUUGUGCAGCCAUGCCGCGUAUAUGAAGAAGGCCUUAGGGGUGUAAAGAACUUUCAGCGGGGAGGCGUUACCCGCAGAAGAAGCCCCGGCUAACUCCGUGCCAGCAGCCGCGGUAAUAC